rnacentral:lncRNA from 1 species
GUGAGAGCAGAGGAGAGAGCAGAGGACAAUGCUAGUGGGCCGCCUGGAGGAGGGGGUGGUGGGGCUGGGAAGGAAAUGCUGCCCCCUUGCGAGUACUCAUUAAGUUGUGCUACCAGGUCAUUCAUCUGGUCCCUGGCCUGGCGCAGCUCCAAGGAUUCUUUCUGCAGCUUGUCUUUCAUUUUGUUCAGUGUCUUCAUCAUUUCAUCUUUCUCCUGGGUCUUUGUCUCACAUUCCCUCUCCUUCUUCUCUAGCUUGCUCAUCAGUUCAGCAUGAUCUUUCCGAAACUUCUCUGCCUGAUCCCUCCAUUGCUUGACUUCAUUCUCAUUCACCAGCAUUUUUAUUAUAUUUUUGACAUUGAAGUUUUCCAGCGGAGCUAUAUCUG